AAAACCUCUUUUAUGGAACAAAACCUAGGGAUUGUUGAUGAACUUACAAUUGCAGGUCACUAAGCUUUGAGAGCAGGAACUUGGUUGCUCCCUC